UGCGAGUUCGCGGGAGAGUAAGUUAUUGCCAGGGUUUUUGUCUUAUACUUUAAACAUUGAUUUUAUUUUUUAUGUUUUUAGAUGUUUAUGUUUUUGAAUGUUUUAUUCAAAUAAUAUAAAAAAUAAAAUAUAUAUUGACAUGGAUUAAACAAAGAUAUAUAUUAUUCUAUGUUGUAUAAACAAAUUGGCAAAAUAGAGAUGGAAGAUAAAAAUAUGGUCAAAGUAAUAAGAGUCUAUGGUGAAUGCCUAGGAGC
rnacentral:misc_RNA from 1 species